rnacentral:rRNA from 1 species
CAGCCGCCGCGGGAAUACGUAGGUCCCGAGCGUUGUCCGGAUUUAUUGGGCGUAAAGCGAGCGCAGGCGGUUAGAUAAGUCUGAAGUUAAAGGCUGUGGCUUAACCAUAGUACGCUUUGGAAACUGUUUAACUUGAGUGCAAGAGGGGAGAGUGGAACUCCAUGUGUAGCGGUGAAAUGCGUAGAUAUAUGGAGGAACACCGGUGGCGAAAGCGGCUCUCUGGCUUGUAACUGACGCUGAGGCUCGAAAGCGUGGGGAGCAAACAGGAUUAGAUACCCCCGUAGUCCCUGUCUCUUAUACA